AUGUUCUCUUCUUCCAGAAGCUUUCUUUCUCCCCAGCAAGUACUUCUUCCUAGAAUACAUGCAGUACAGAGAUCAGCUGAGAGGUGGAACCCGAGAUGGAGCCAUCCCUUUGACCACAGCCUGAUUCACCGAGUCACCAAGCCACUCCAGGGUAACCUGAGUGGGUCCAGCCUGUGGGUGUCUGAAAGGUAGGGGAUUCACAAUGGGACACUUAGGUCCUCAUGUGUAAGAGCGUGUGAGUAUAAGAUGUGCAUUGAAUUAACUAGCAAACACCAAACUCUAAGAUGAGAGGUUGAAAGGCUAAUAUAAAUUAGGAGCACUCCCACUAGCUAACAGGUAAUUAACUUAAAGGCUUUGAGUUAUUUGGGGGGAGCAGAGGAGAUACAGGAAGUGAAGAGUACCCAGUCCCUACUCACUCUGCCCUGCAAGCUUAUGGACCAGGUCAGAAAGAAAUUCUCCCAAGAGGGGAGGGAGGCUUACAGCUUCUACCUGAACCUCUCAGGGUCUCCAUUUUCUUCAUCUUUCUCCAUCUCUUCCAUACAUCCAAACGACAAUGUCUUUUCCUUGAGAUAUAACUGACAAAUAAUAUUGUGUAAGUGUAAGGUGUAUAAAGUGAUGAUUUGACACAUGUAUAUAUUGCAAAAUGAUUACUGCAAAAAGGCUUAGUUAACAACAUACAUCACCUUACAUAGUACUUUUUAUUUUUCCUCUUUCAGAAAAAAAAAAAAUAGUUAAUAUCAUCCAUGCAUAUUGAGAAUACAAAUGAAUUCCAGAGGAUGGGGGUUAUUUACAGCCCACAUGCAAGCUCUGGCCUCAUUUUAUACCUUUAAGCAUCUCUAUCUCCUAGAAAGGCUCUCAGUUUUGCUUUCAGGAUGCCACAUGCUUUGAUCUAACUCCUUCUCCCUGGCUAUGUCUUCUCUUUUGGGAAUCCUUUUCUAUGCCUGUGUCUACAUAUUGAUGUUCCUUUCUUGGGUCCCACUUCCCUUUCACUCCACAUAUUUCUCUCUGCUAACCACAUUUAUUGUCACAGCUUCAGUUACCAUGGGUAGGCUGAGGGUUGGCUAAUCCACAGCUUUAGUCUAGACUCCCAUGUCUGCCCUAGAGCCCCAUAUUUUCCUGCUCAUUGGACAUCUAUCUCUUCUUGGAUGUCUUCUGGAUACCUUAACAUCAGUCCUAACUCACAGCCCUACCCCACAUCCUAACUCUUUACCUACAUUCCCCAUCUCUGCAAAUGGCACCAUCACCCUCUAGUUGCCCAACACCUUGACCUCUACUCCUCACUUUACAAACCAGUGAACUACAAAGUCAAGAGUCAAAUCCUGACCUCAUGAUUCAGGUCAAUAUGAUUCCCUCUGGGAUAUCCUAUGUAAUGGGACUCCCCACCUAGAAUUUUGCUCUCCUCCUCUCCACACAGACAGAGGGAGAAGCAGGCUCCAUGCAGAGAGCCUGACGUGGGACUCAUCCAGGGUCUCCAGGAUCACGCCCUGGGCUGCAGGCGGCGCUAAACCACUGCACCACCGGGGCUGCCCUCCAAUCUCUUUCUUAUCAUAGGACUCACAGAAAAUGACAACUUUUGUACAACACACUGGGAUAACCAUUUGAGAAUUCUGAAAGAAGCCACUAGGUUUUGCCUGUUAUCCCAGAGGCUAAGGGGUUCAUAAUCUGGGCUCUCUUCAAAGCCAUUCACACCACCCUGGGAGCCUCUGGACUAAUUCCUUCACCCUGC
rnacentral:lncRNA from 1 species